rnacentral:rRNA from 1 species
AUUGAACGCUGGCGGCAGGCUUAACACAUGCAAGUCGAACGAUGAAGAUAUAGCUUGCUAUAUCGGAUUAGUGGCGGACGGGUGAGUAACACUUAGGAAUCUACCUUUUAGCGGGGGAUAGCUCGGGGAAACUCGAAUUAAUACCGCAUAAUUUCUACGGAAUAAAGAGGGCUUUUAGCUCUCACUAGAAGAUGAGCCUAAGUAAGAUUAGCUAGUUGGUGGGGUAAAAGCCUACCAAGGCGACGAUCUUUAGCUGGUCUGAGAGGAUGAUCAGCCACACUGGGACUGAGACACGGCCCAGACUCCUACGGGAGGCAGCAGUGGGGAAUAUUGGACAAUGGGGGCAACCCUGAUCCAGCCAUGCCGCGUGUGUGAAGAAGGCCUUUUGGUUGUAAAGCACUUUAAGCAGUGAAGAAGACCUAUUGGCUAAUACCCAAUAGCGAUGACAUUAACUGCAGAAUAAGCACCGGCUAACUCUGUGCCAGCAGCCGCGGUAAUACAGAGGGUGCAAGCGUUAAUCGGAAUUACUGGGCGUAAAGCGAGCGUAGGUGGUUAAAUAAGUCAGAUGUGAAAGCCCUGGGCUCAACCUAGGAACGGCAUCUGAAACUAUUUAACUAGAGUAGGUGAGAGGGAAGUAGAAUUUCAGGUGUAGCGGUGAAAUGCGUAGAGAUCUGAAGGAAUACCGAUGGCGAAGGCAGCUUCCUGGCAUCAUACUGACACUGAGGCUCGAAAGCGUGGGUAGCAAACAGG